GGGACUGUGGCACAACGGAUAACGCGCCUGACUACGGAUCAGGAGAUUCCCUGCUCAAAUCAUGGCUGGCUCG
rnacentral:tRNA from 1 species